rnacentral:rRNA from 1 species
UGGGGAAUAUUGCACAAUGGGGGGAACCCGUGAUGCAGCGACGCCGCGUGGGUGAGGAAGUACUUCGGUAUGUAAAGCCCUAUCAGCAGGGAAGAAAAUGACGGUACCUGACUAAGAAGCCCCGGCUAACUACGUGCC